rnacentral:rRNA from 1 species
UGAGACACGGCCCAGACUCCUACGGGAGGCAGCAGUGGGGAAUCUUGCGCAAUGGGGGGAACCCGGACGCAGCGACGCCGCGUGCGGGACGGAGGCCUUCGGGUCGUAAACCGCUUUCAGCAGGGAAGAGUCAAGACUGUACCUGCAGAAGAAGCCCCGGCUAACUACGUGCCAGCAGCCGCGGUAAUACGUAGGGGGCGAGCGUUAUCCGGAUUCAUUGGGCGUAAAGCGCGAGUAGGCGGCCCGGCAGGCCGGGGGUCGAAGCGGGGGGCUCAACCCCCCGAAGCCCCCGGAACCUCCGCGGCUUGGGUCCGGUAGGGGAGGGUGGAACACCCGGUGUAGCGGUGGAAUGCGCAGAUAUCGGGUGGAACACCGGUGGCGAAGGCGGCCCUCUGGGCCGAGACCGACGCUGAGGCGAGAAAGCUGGGGGGAGCGAACAGGAUUAGAUACCCUGGUAGUCCCACCCGUAAACGAUGGACGCUAGGUGUGGGGGGACGAUCCCCCCGUGCCGCAGCCAACGCAUUAAGCGUCCCGCCUGGGGAGUACGGCCGCAAGGCUAAAACUCAAAGGAAUCGACGGGGGCCCGCACAAGCAGCGGAGCAUGUGGCUUAAUUUGAAGCAACGCGAAGAACCUUACCAGGGCUUGACAUAUGGGUGAAGCGGGGGAGACCCCGUGGCCGAGAGGAGCCCAUACAGGUGGUGCAUGGCUGUCGUCAGCUCGUGUCGUGAGAUGUUGGGUUAAGUCCCGCAACGAGCGCAACCCCCGCCGCGUGUUGCCAUCGGGUGAUGCCGGGAACCCACGCGGGACCGCCGCCGUCAAGGCGGAGGAGGGCGGGGAGGACGUCAAGUCAUCAUGCCCCUUAUGCCCUGGGCUGCACACGUGCUACAAUGGCCGGUACAGAGGGAUGCCACCCCGCGAGGGGGAGCGGAUCCCGGAAAGCCGGCCCCAGUUCGGAUUGGGGGGUGCAACCCGCCCCCACGAAGUCGGAGUUGCUAGUAAUCGCGGAUCAGCAUGCCGCGGUGAAAAAGUUCCCGGGCCUUGCACACACCGCCCAAGGGCGAA